rnacentral:misc_RNA from 1 species
CAUGCAUUUUUCAGUUUGUCAAAUUUGGAAAAGAUUUGGCUCCUGGUGUUGAUGUAAUCAUAGAAUUCAGGAAUUUUAUCUAGUUGACAAUGCGUGUAUUUUCUCUGCAAAGUCUUUCUCCUUUACUAAUCCAAAAUUGCCCAAAUAUCUCUGGCAUAUGAAACUGAGAAGUUCAGCGUAUGACAGGAAAUAAAAAUUAGAAUGAAAAUUGGAAACUAUUAUGUUUAUGGAUGAAGGUUAAGCAACUAUGGCAGCUUCAUGAACUUGUUUUUUCUCUCUUUUCUUGUUCUGCCUUGAUAAUUUUGCAAUCG